UAUCUCGUUUCAAUUUAUUUUGCUUUCCGUUUAUUUCUCUUUCAGUUUUAUCUCGUUUCAGUUUAUCUCGUUUUCAGUUUUCUUCUUUUUCAGUUUAUUUUUGUUUCAGUUUAUUUUAUCGGUCUUGAUAAGGAAAAUAGGUAAGUCCUUAAUUCCCUGUGGAUUCGAUCCUUUUACCACUAUCUACAAUUGUAAAUUGUUGAUAACCAGAAAGGUUAUUUUUGACCGGCUUCGACAACCGCGAGUCA
rnacentral:lncRNA from 1 species